rnacentral:ncRNA from 2 species
GAAUAUUUGCAGGGGGACUAAAGCCGCCACACAUUGGUAAUGCCGGGCGGCGAUUAGUUGAGAAGGUAAAACCUGACCCUUUGAACCUGUUAGUUAAUACUACCGUAGGGAGCAGUUAAAUAAGCUAU